CGGACUUAGUGAUCCGGUGGUUCUGCGUGGAAGGGCCAUCGCUCAACGGAUAAAAGCUACCCUGGGGAUAACAGGCUUAUCUCCCCCAAGAGUCCACAUCGACGGGGAGGUUUGGCACCUCGAUGUCGGCUCAUCCCAUCCUGGGGCUGUAGUAGGUCCCAAGGGUUGGGCUGUUCGCCCAUUAAAGUGGUACGCGAGCUGGGUUCAGAACGUCGUGAGACAGUUCGGUCCCUAUCCGUCGCAGGCGUAGGAAAUUUGAGAAGACCUGUCCUUAGUACGAGAGGACCGGGAUGGACGUACCUCUGGUGUACCAGU
rnacentral:rRNA from 1 species